rnacentral:rRNA from 1 species
CGUGACGGCCACAGCGGCGGGGCCACACCUGGUCUCAUUCCGAACCCAGAAGUUAAGCCCGCCCGCGUUCUCUGCGGUACUAUGGUGCGCGAGCCCAUGGGAGGCCUAAGGUCUUUACGA